GAGCAAGGGCGUCGAUUAAAAUAGAGUGACGCAAACUUGCAUUGAAGGUUGGCGAUAAAGAACAGCAAUUCUCCGUGCCUAUCAGAUCUGCAUUCUGAUUAUGGCCUCGAACAAGUUGCUACAUC